ACAGACAGCUGCCGACCCUAGGGCUGGGCGAGUGUGACAGAGCACUACCAACUACCCUGAACAGUGCUAAAGGUUUCUUUUAUACAGCCCAGCAUAGCUCCUUGGGCUCCUCUUAUCCAAGUUCGGAUUGUUGUUUACAAGGCGGACAAGUUAUUAAUGUUCUAUUAUAUGUACCUUACUGGGGAAUUAGAAAUAGUCCCAUUGUAACUGGACUGAAAGUGGGAUUGUCCUGCUAUUGCUAAGUAGGAGAGUUAAUAGCUAGCCAACCCUCCUCAUAGACUUAUAACUGUACAGACUUAAUGUAAAGUUAAAGGUUAACCUGGAGUCCUUUGGGAGCAUAUAAUUACUGAGGACACUCCAGAGUUUCAAGUGAACAAUUCAUCACAUACAGACUACAGCUUGCACGGAGAUAGUUAUCCAUAUAUCACCAGCUCACUUGAAGGAGUCAGAAACAAGUAUAGUAUAGUAUAUUCCACCAUAUACCCGGCUGUCAUCUUGCAUCGCCCAAGAGCGGUGGGAGGGGAUGUUCCCCUGGUAAUAGUAACUAUUGUGGAACCGCAGACUAUUUGGUUAACUCUAGCAGAUGGAAUACAAAUAAAGAAACACUUGCGGACCCAACAACCUAGCUACUGCAGUUAAAAUAAGUUCUUCUGGAUCUAAUAGGAGCCAAUGGACACUGUAAUACGGGAGGUUGGCACUAGGUAGAGCACAAAAAAUGGACAAGUCAGCACAAAGAACGAGAUCCACUGGUGAAACAUGCGCAGUGGAUGCCAAGGAUGGGAUGCAUUUAGCAUUCUGGAUGUCGGCGGUCAUGUGACCAACUCUGGAAUCCCAACAUCACUCAGGAGACCGGCACAAGAUCACCAACAGCAGACAUCCUGAAAAUGCACCAGAGAAAUCAUGGCUACAAACACCCUCCUUUGAUUAUUGGAUCAGCCAAGCCAAGAAAGUCUCAUCCUCAGUCACCCGAUAUCCUGCAGUGUGUGGGCAUUUUAGAUAAUCUGACCAUGUUUCCAUGACUACGUCAUCCUCCUUGUGGGCGGACAUAUGCAAAUUUAGUGCAGUGUGGCAGAAAAUCAGUUAUUUAAAAACAUUUAUUCAAAUACUGGGGCCUAUGGUUUGCCAAAGCAUCCGCCAAUUGUCGGAACAACCAUAACAUUGGACAGUGUGCACCUAGCUUAAUACUGUAGGUGCCUGCAACAGUAAACAAAAUUACUCAGCAUUUAGGUUGUAUUUAAGAGAAAGCCUGUUAUAGUGCUGUAUAUGCAAUGUUGAGGAAUAUUGUUUAAAACUAAUAUUUUGUUUUCCUGCAUAAUUUUUUGCGUAAUCCAAUAAAAAACAACAACAACAACAACAACAACAACAACAACAACAUAACAAUGGGUAAGGAUGUGAAAAAAAAUAAAGAUGAAAAUAACUUAUCUGUUCAAAAAAUAACAAUGGAUGUUCUUAUUAUAUUUAGCAAGACUAUGAUAAACAAAAG